UUAACACAUGCAAGUCGAGGGGUAUAGUUCUUCGGAAUUAGAGACCGGCGCACGGGUGCGUAACGCGUAUGCAAUCUACCUUUUACAGUGGGAUAGCCCAGAGAAAUUUGGAUUAAUACCGCAUAGUAUUAUAGGAUGGCAUCAUUUUAUAAUUAAAGUCACAACGGUAAAAGAUGAGCAUGCGUCCCAUUAGUUAGUUGGUAAGGUAACGGCUUACCAAGACUACGAUGGGUAGGGGUCCUGAGAGGGAGAUCCCCCACACUGGUACUGAGACACGGACCAGACUCCUACGGGAGGCAGCAGUGAGGAAUAUUGGACAAUGGAGGCAACUCUGAUCCAGCCAUGCCGCGUGCAGGAUGACGGUCCUAUGGAUUGUAAACUGCUUUUAUACAGGAAGAAAC
rnacentral:rRNA from 1 species